UACAGAGGGGGCAAGCGUUGUUCGGAAUUACUGGGCGUAAAGCGCACGUAGGCGGCUUGUUAAGUCAGGGGUGAAAUCCCGAGGCUCAACCUCGGAACUGCCUUUGAUACUGGCAAUCUCGAGUCCGGAAGAGGUGAGUGGAAUUCCUAGUGUAGAGGUGAAAUUCGUAGAUAUUAGGAAGAACACCAGUGGCGAAGGCGGCUCACUGGUCCGGUACUGACGCUGAGGUGCGAAAGCGUGGGGAGCAAACAGG
rnacentral:rRNA from 1 species